rnacentral:tRNA from 5 species
GCGCCCGUAGCUCAACGGAUAGAGCAUCUGACUACGGAUCAGAAGGUUGGGGGUUCGAAUCCCUCCGGGCGCGCCA